GGAAGGUUGGCCGAGCGGCAAGGCACUCGGAUGCUACCCGAGAGUACGGCAUGGUCCGUCGCAGGUUCGACCCCUGCACCUUCCU
rnacentral:tRNA from 1 species